rnacentral:lncRNA from 1 species
UUCUCUGGAGCCACGAGAGCGUUUAUGGGGCAUCCAGGAAAGUUUGUUGGCGAUGGCCAGAAGAGGUUUAGGAGAUCCCCGGAAUCUCUGACUUCACCACCGGAGUGGAUAACCUUCCCAUCUUCUGUAGCUUUCCGAGGCUAUGAGGCAAAAAACAUGUAUCCUGCGAUGUAUGGGGAGAAUGCCUCAGGCAUAAGAGAUGCCGAACGGGUAGCAAAGAUUGUAAGUGGAUGUCAAGCUAUAGCUGUCCGUAGCUGCAUUGAAUUUGAAGGUGAGUACAUAGAUGUAUACCAGAAACUUGUGAGCAAGCAGGUAAUUCCAAUAGGCUUGCUCCCUCCAGAAAAACCAGAGAAAAGAGAAAUAACUGAUGGGACAUGGAACACGAUCUUCGAGUGGCUUGACAAUCAAGAACACGAAUCCGUGGUAUUUGUUGGAUUUGGCAGUGAGUGUAAAUUGACCAAAGACCAAGUUUAUGAGAUAGCUUAUGGGCUGGAGCUAUCAAAAUUGCCAUAUCUCUGGGCACUUAGGAAACCCACUUGGGCAGCAACAGAUCUCGAUGCUCUACCCCCAGAAUUCAAUAACAAGACUUCCGAGAAAGGGAUUGUCUCCAUAGGAUGGGCACCACAACUAGAACUUCUAUCGCAUCCAUCAAUAGGGGGAUCAUUGUUUCACUCCGGGUGGGGUUCCGUAAUAGAAACUCUGCAGUAUGGACUUUGUUUAAUUGUUUUGCCAUUUAUUGCAGAUCAAGGGCUGAAUGCCAGGCUACUUGUGGAGAAGGGCUUGGCUGUCGAGGUAGACAGGAAGGAAGAUGGAUCAUUUACCAGAGAUGAUAUUGCCAAGUCUCUGAGACUAGCUAUGGCCUCGGAGGAAGGAAGUCAGCUGAAGACCCGAGCAAAAGAUGCCGCUAACAUGUUCCAGAAUAGGAAGCUGCAUCAGGACUACAUCAAUAGGUUUGUGAAGUAUCUGAAGGAUGGAGUUUCUUGAGACUGUCGAAACGUAUCCCGAUUGUCCGAUCUCUCACUGUCUUUAUCCUCAUCUUGGUCGAGGAUAAAUAUUUGGGCAACUAUGAUAAAUAAUUGUGUCUUGUUUCGGGAAUAAAGUCUUCAUUUGAUUGUGAGAAGUAUUUGUUUUUAGAGUUAAAAAAAAUAUUCAUGAAGUAAGAAAACCUCUCACUAUUAAAAUAUUUGGAAUAAAAUUGUUGAUAUCUUUAUUAUUGAGAACCUUUUCAAAGUGCCAUAAAAAGAUUUUUAAAAAUUAUUAUUUUUUAAUUACAUAACUUAAACGUGUUAGACACAUGCCCAUUAUGAUCUCAUCUCAUGGCUAGGUUAUUUUUCAAUAAUUAUGAAUAUUAGAUUGAUAUAUUAUUAAUUAUUGCAUUUAAAAAUAAUUUUUUUUAAAAAAAUAUUAAAACUUGUUGCAUUAAAGUAAAUUAUAUAACUAGUUUUUAUAAGAUGCAUUAAGAAAAAAAGAAAGAAAAACAAUAAUUACUUAUUGAAAAUAAAGGAAUGAAUUGAAAGCUCCAUGAUUGAAAUAAAAAUAACCCCAAAAUGAUUUUUAAUAAGUGGCUCUUCGAACUUCACCAUAAGUUGAUAAAUCUGCCAUCGUCUUCCAUAUCUUAUUUAGAGAGAAUGCUUCAGUUUUAAGAGAUUUCCAAACGAUUUGCCAAGAUCAUCAGUGGAUGUCGAGCUAUAGUUGUCCGUAGCUGCUUUGAAUUAGAAGGUGACUACUUGAAGAUAUACCAGAAAAUGUUUGGCAAGCAAGUGAUUCCACUAGUUAUUCUUCCUUCGAAAAAAAUAAAAAAAGUGACAAGAAAUAACUGAUGGGGAAUGGAACAAGAUCUUCAAAUGGCUUGACAAGAUUGACCAAAGAUCAAGUCUCUGAGAUAGCUUAUAGGGUGGAUGUUGGGUUUGCGAGAGAAUAUAUAUACAGUAAAAAUAAAAUUUUUAAUUUUUUUUAAAAGUUGCAAGAAUUAUGUUAGAAAAAUCUAGAAUCGUUUAAGGUUUAUAUAAAAAUUACUUGAAGAUCAUAUAUUUUUUUUAGUUUUGAAUAAUUAUUUCAAGACUGGAUUAUCACAAAUCACAAGCCGUCUAAGUAUCCAACAUUUAAUUGCAAUCUAUACAAAUCGCAAAUGAGAAAUAUCUUAAACUCUUUUAGAAAAUAGGAACUACUAUACUUUUGAGUGCUAUCUUUUUUUUUUUUUUAAGGUGUUUCUACAACUAACAUAGUUUUCUCUGUAAAAUACAAAAAAAUAAGAGGCAUGACAUUUUAUUUUUAGAAAAACCUGAAAAUCUUAUAAAUAAUAAAAUAUCAAUUUUUCCCUUAAAUAAUAUCACAUAUAUUAUUUCAUGAUAAUUUUAGAAGUUUAUUUAAUCAAGUUCCUAUUUGAUUUUUUAGAGGUCUACAAUUGUAAUCCCUUUUAUUAAUUACAUUAUAGUCUUUAAUUUCUAAAACUUAUUCACAAUCAAGUCAUACUAGAUUAAUUUUCUCAUUUUAAUUUCUGAUCAAUAGUUCUUACGUAUAUAACCCAUUAAGUUCCCUAAUAAGUUAGCCCAAAUAUAAAUUUUAAAUAAAAUAAGACUAAAUAAAUUAAACAAUUUAAUUUAUUAUCAAUUCAAUAAUUGAUGAAUUGAUAUUUGAAGAUGAAUUACAAUGUGAUCCUUUAAAUAUUAAAAAACUCAUAAGUGGUUUAACUUAACUAUUCAAUGAUUAGUUUCUCAUUGUAAUUAUUAUCCCUUUAUCAAAAAUAUUUUAAUUUGGACAUUAUAACAUGAAAUAUGUCUUAUUUAUUAAAUUAUUUUUGUUCUCAUCACUAUAAUCUUUGUUUCUUUGAAUAAGAUCUGAAACUCUUUUCAAAUCUUAUUCCAUCUUGGCCAAGAAUUUCACAAUUAAUAAUAUUUAAGAAAAGAUGAAACAUUUUUUCUAAUUCACCUAUGUUGAUGAAUCCUCUCUAGAUCACUCAAAUAUCUUUAUAUAGUUUAUAGUAUAUCCAAUACUUACUUAUUUAUUACCCUGAUUAUGAUAAUAUAUAGUUAGGAUCAAAGCAUAACAUUCUUUAUAUAAAGUAACUUAGUGAUAUCAAGUUUAAGGAUUAAUUACACAACUGUCACUUCAGCCUUUUCAUAGAUAUAAAUAAUCUCUUCAUAUGAAAUUCUCAUGAGGGUUAGUUCAGUAUACAUGUUAUCCAAGAAGCACCUAUAUAUUAGUUUUAGGUAUCCCUCAGACCUUAGCUUAUGAGAGCAAUUGUUUUUUUUCAUAAAAAAAGAAACAUAAUAUGUAUCAGUUCCAACAACUCUAAUUAAUAUUUAUUAUUAAUAGAAUAUUGAUCACAAACAUUUAUAAACCAUGCUUUAAUGCAUUUGAAAUCUCAUAAUUAUAAUAAUUUUAUAAUUUUCUUUACUUAUAAAAUAUAUCUGGUAUCCAAGAAAAGGAUUGUUGUCAUAAGUGGGCACCAGAACUGAAAAUUCUAGCAUAUCUAUUAAUAGGGGGAUUAGUAAACCAUGUUGGAUGGAGAUAUGUGAUAAAAACUCUGCAUCAUGAGCAUUGUUUGAUUGUUUUGCCAUUAGUGUUAUACUAAGGAAUAAAUGUCACGUUCUUGGUGGAAAAAGACUUGGUUAUUAAGGUAGGCAUGAAGGAGGAUAGUUCAUUUACUAGACAUGAUAUGACAAAGUCUUUGAGAAUAGUUAUGCUUUUAGAGGAAGAAAAUCAAUUAAGGCUUUUAUUAUAAUUGUGAUUCUGAAUAGCGGUUACGUAAUACAACCGUGAUUUAGAAUUGCAGUUAUGACAAGUAGAUAAUUCCCCCACAUGUUCUCUAUAGCUGCCACUCAUGCAAAGAGAAAAACCCCAAGAAUUGCAAAACCCUUUGCCUAAACCAACCUCUGAUCCUUCAUCAAAAUAUCAUAAUCAUCUUCCCCUUGUCUCCACAACUCUUUCUAUUGAUUUUUUGUUGCAAACCACUGGCCUAGACAACCUCCCCACCGCCUAGACAUAAAAAAAAAUCAAGGUAUAACAACUGCACUGUCUCUUAGUUUUAUGGGUUUCAUUAUUAAAUUGAUGAAUUUUGAGUUUUGAUGUAUGACUAUUUGUGUAGUGUUUAAUAAUUAGGUAUUUUGUUGAUGUUGAGAUAAUCUUGGAUCUUGAGUGUUGCAAUUAUGUAUUUUUAAUACAAUUAAUGUUGUUUAUUGAAUCAAAUAGGUUUGAAUGAGAGAAAUUAGAUUUUAAAUUGAUUAUUGUGUUGAUUGCCAUAUUUAAUAUAAUUGUUUGAAUUGGGAUAUAAAUAUUGUUUGAAUUGAUGCAAAUAGAUAGAUAAUUGGUUUUUUAAUGUUAUUAAUAAAAUUAUGGUCAAAAUCAUAGCAACCAGAGUCUGUUAAAUUUUGAUAAAAAUCAUCAUAACCGGAGAUUUUGUUCAAUUGAGAUCAUUUAGUUUUUAAUUGGUGCAAUUAUAUAUGUUUUUAUUGAUAUUAUUAAGGUUAAAGUAAUAUCAAUUAAAGUUUGCAUUGAAUUGUGAGAUAAUUUGAUUUUAAUGAAAUAAGUAUUCUUAUUUUACAUAAUAUGCCUUCAAACUUCUUUAUGUUAUAUUAUUGUAGUGGUACUAUUGUUCCUGGUACGAAUAAUAAUGUCAUUUAUAUUGAUAGAAGUCCUAUAUUCUUGAAUGCUACUAGAGAUAUGCCAUUUGAAGAUAUUGAAAUAGUUAUACAUCGAAAAACAUAGGUUGAAUUAUAAUAAUAUUAAAAUAAAUGUCACUUGGAGAUCUUUUUUUGGAGAACAUUAAUAUUUUUGAAUCUAAUUGCGUUGUGAUAUGAAAUUUAGAAAUAUGAUGAAAUUAUUCAUCCAAAAUGAAAUGAACACGAUGGAGUUGUAUGAGCUGGUACCUAAGCAUAAUAUGCCGAAUCAUGCACCAAACCCAAUGCAAGUUUCUCCACGCAAGGAGAUGAAGUAUUAGCCAUAUAUACAUCAGAUUCAGAAUGCUAUAAGUAUUUUUUUUACUUUUUAUAGGCGUGGACAAAAUCAUUGCAUUUUAUUUUUGGAUUAAUAAUUUCUAUUUACUUCAUAUUAGGUUGAACAAUUGUUACAUGAUAGUUGACGUGUUGUGACCGAUCUUCGUAAUCUCGAAAAUGAUGAUGGACUAUUUUAUUAUUAUGUAUCUUUUUGGUUUGAUACAUGUUGUAUUACACUUGAUUUGUUAUGAGAGACAUUGAUUUUAGAUUAUGUUGUUUUAGAGGAUGAUAUCACAGAGACAAGUGAAAGUUAUGCUAGUGAAGUCGACCCAUCCACUUAUUAUCGCAAAAACCAUAGAUAGGCUCAGAUCCUAGAUGAUGUUGUUUUAGAAGAUGAUACCACAUAGGCAAGUGAAAGUUAUGCUAUUGAUGAAGUCGACCCAUCCACUCAUUGUCGCAAAAAACAUAAAUAGACUUAGAUGUAUUGUUAUAUUGUGUUAUUUUUUUAGUUAAUAGUUAUUUUUAUUUGUAUUACUUAUGUAAUAUUGUUUUAGCUUAUUAUUACGUUGAUUUUAAUACUGUCUUGUAUAUUAUACAUUUUCAUACUUAAUUUAGAUAAACAUGAUUUAAAAUUGUUAAUUAACAGGUGAACACGUGAAUAUUAAAAUUUCAAAUCAUUCAUUUACAAGUUAAAAAAUAAACAUUGUUAUGUUUUGUUAUUGCCAUUAUCAAUUAUCUUUAUGAUUAAUAAAUAAAAACAAUGUUUAAAAAUAUCAUGUAUUAAUUUGAGAUUAUAAUUAAUUAAUAAAAUUGAUAUUAAAAUAUCGCACUCAUAAUUAUAUGUUUGAGGUUUGAUAAUUUAUGGUUUUAUUCAGGAUUUAGUGUGGUGAUUUAAGUUUUGUUUUUAUGUAAAAUUUAAGAUUAAAUUUAUGUUAAAAUUGUGUUGGGAUGACACAAUCUUUAUUUAUAUUAGCGGUUUGUGCAUAAAAUAACUAUUAUUGGUAAUAAUAGUUUUUUUUAAUUAUGACACUAUUAACGAUAACGAUUGUUUAAUAUAACUACUAUUCUUAUUAACAAUUUAUUAACAAAACCAUGAUUUUUAUUAUUGAUCAUGUAAAAUGUAAAAUAUAUAUUUUCCAAAUAAUUUUUAUAUGCUGCACUGUACUUUCAGAAAGAUCCCAAUAAUUAAAAAAAAAACCCUGGCUGAUGCACGUCGAUCCUAGUUUAAAUAUUCACAGCCUGUGUAUGCAAGAAAAAAAGGAAAAUGAAAAGUAAACAAUUUUGUCACAUAAUUUUUUUAUAUAUAUAAUUAUGAAUAUCUGAAACAGUUUAUGGAUAUUUUAGAAUUUUAAAAUUAAUAAUUAAAUAAAUUUGUAAUAAAUUUAAAAUUUAUAAUAUUUAAACUAAAAACUUAUAAAAAAAACAAAUCCUAACCUGACGAACUGCACUACAAUCUCAUAAUAUUUUCGCAUAAACUUUUGAUAUUAAGAAAAGCACGCUCUCCGUAUAAGCAAUUAUCUCAUCAAUGACUCAUCCUUUUAAUGGUUAUCUUGAACAGGGCCAUCUUUAGGUUAGACAAAAAAUAAAAUAAAAUAAUUCAUAGUAUUAUUAUAUAUUAAUGGAACUGUUAUCUUAAUUAAUUUAUUUAUUCUCGAUUGGAAAAAAGGAUCAUUUGAGAAGGAUAUUCGCUAAAUUAAUCAAGUUUAGUCGUACUGUCCUGCUUAAACUAAAUACAAGCAUUCCAUCAACUAAUUAGUGGGCAUGAUGGCAGCCAUUUCAUUUUGCAUUGGUUGAGAUUUGAAAGUUGCCUUCUUGAUUAAUCAAACUUGAGGUUUGACAGCCACAUAAAUGCAUUUAGCCUCGUUCGGAAUUGUGCUUUAUAUUAAUUUAAAAUAAAAAAAAUUAAAUUUUUUUAAAAGUAUUUUCUUACCGCACCAAACAUGCCUAAUUUCUGGUAUUAAAUUUUAUAUAAAAACCAUCUUUUCCAACACAGAGUCACAGACAGCCCGCAAAGCAGGUUGAGUUGGUCAUAAAGUCAAAAGCUGGAAAUAUCUGAAAAUGAUUUUUGUAUUAAACUACUGGAUUGUCCAAAAAAGGUGACACGGAGUGCAAACUGCAAAGACCUUUGAAAAAAAAGGAGUAGGUGGCAACAAUAAUUCUAAAACUUUGGGAUUCGAUAAGUGGACAGCCUCCUUUAAAUUUCUUAAACAUUUGUGGCACUCUCGGAAUCAGGAUAGACCUUUUAUUACUUUCAUACAGAUCAUUUCAGUAUUCACAUAGUUAUGGCGAGUGAUUUGCAUAUAGUAAUAUUUCCAUGGUCGGCCUUUGGUCACAUAUUGCCAUUUUUUCAUUUCUCCAAAGCUUUAGCCGAAGCUGGAGUUCAUGUCUCCUUUGUAUCAACUCCCAGGAAUAUACAGCGACUACCUGCAAUAUCACCAACCUUAGCACCGCUAAUAAACUUAGUGGAGCUUCCUUUUCCAGCUUUGGACGUUAAGUAUGGCUUGCCAGAAGGAGCUGAGGCAACAGUAGACAUUCCUGCUGAGAAAAUCCAAUACUUGAAGAUCGCCUAUGAUCUCUUACAACACCCCUUCAAGCAGUUUGUCGCUGAGAAGUCCCCGAAUUGGAUGAUUGUUGAUUUUUGUUCUCACUGGGCUGUUGACAUUGCAAAAGAAUAUGGUAUCCCGCUAAUAUACUUGUCGAUUUUCUCUGGAGCCAUGGGAGCGUUUAUGGGGCAUCCAGGAAAUUUUGUUGGCGAUGGCCAGAAGAGGUUUAGGGGAUCCCCGGAAUCUCUGACUUCACCACCGGAGUGGAUAACCUUCCCAUCGUCUGUAGCUUUCCGAGGCUAUGAGGCAAAAAACAUGUAUCCUGCGAUGUUUGGGGAGAAUGCCUCAGGCAUAAGAGAUGGCGAACGGGUAGCAAAG